rnacentral:rRNA from 1 species
UACGUAGGGUGCAGGCGUAAUCGGAAUUACUGGGCGUAAAGGGUGCGUAGGCGGCUUUUUAAGUUUGGUGUGAAAUCUCCCGGCUCAACUGGGAGGGUGCGCCGAAUACUGAGAGGCUAGAGUGUGGGGAGAGGAAAGUGGAAUUCCUGGUGUAGCGGUGAAAUGCGUAGAUAUCAGGAGGAACACCGGUGGUGUAAACGGCUUUCUGGACCAUAACUGACGCUGAGGCACGAAAGCGUGGGUAGCAAACAGG